GUUCCUGCAUGUUUCCUUCUUUCGUUAUUAUUUUUCCUCCGCUUUAAACUGGAAAAUGGCCCACUUCCCACUGGCGAAAACUAAGGAAAUUUGGCAGGACGACCGGGCCUGGUGAAAAAUUCGAUAUUCUGAAGUCGCCCAAACAAUAAAAUGCAAAAUGGCUCCAUAGCGCCCCCUAAGGUGAAAAUUCACAUGACGGCUGUACGCUUUGUCAUAUUGACACAAAAAUUGACACACACAUGUAUCUCAAUAAGAUCUACAAAAAAGUCAGUGCGGGCGUAUCUGUCAAAUGUACAGUUAAUGGGUUAUUUUGCAUUUUUUGCAGAUCUGCACACAUUGGAAUUUCGCUAACUCCUCCGAAGGCUUUCGUUCAACCGGCACCACAUUUGCGCAGGCCAAUCUACCCCCCAUGGCCAUUAAAAGUUGUACAAAUCAUGACGCUGCACCCCACGGUUUACGUUCUAGGGGGCGCCAAAGAUAACCCAAAAUCCACAUUCUUAAAAGUCUUAUAACUUUUUAUUUUUGUCCUCACUGCCCUCCAAGUUUUCUAGGAUGAUGCAAUGUCCAGCCAUCAACACAUUUGUGAAGGAAUUUUUACUCCCCAAAAGAGCGCCCCCCCAUGGCAGGAGAAAAAAGUCAAUUUUUUCUUGUCCCCUUACAUGAAAAUACACAUUGUUGAGUGUCACGCCUGAACGCUUUGUCAUAUUGACACAAAAAUUGACAAUCAUUUGUAUCUCAAUUAGAUCUACGAAAAAGUCAAAAAGCGCGUAUCUGUAUAAUGUACGGUUAAAGGGCUAUUUCGCAUUUUUUGCCGAUUCGCACACAUUGGAAUGUGGCUAUCUCCUCCUAAGGCUUUCGUCCCACCGAUACCAAAUUUGCUCAGGGCAAUCUACACCCCAUGCCCAUUCAAAGUUGUAAAAAUCAUGACGCUGCACCCCACGGUUUACGUUCUAGGGGGCACCAAAGAUGACCCAAAAAUCCACAUUCUUAAAAGUCAUUUUGGCCACUGCAGGAGUACAGAGUACUGCAGUUCUAGGGGGCGCCAAAGAUGACCCAAAAAUCCACAUUCUUAAAAGUCUUUUUGGCCACUGCAGGAGUACAGAGUACUGCAGGAUACACACACAUACACACACACACACACACACACACACACACACACACACACACACUCAGAGUCUGUUUUUUAGCACCUGCAAAAACAUGCUGUUUACAUAUUUGACAAGAAUGCAGAGGCUUCCUUUUGCCCCUGAAAAAAAUCAGAUUUCAAACACAACUUGACUGUUCAUUUCUCCAAAAGACAACCAUGAAGCUCCAUCCAAACCUGAAGCAGAUAGUUGGUGCAUGUGUACAGUAACCUAAGGGGAGUGAGGUGACUAUUUCUGAGGAGAACAUGAGCAGUGAAGAUUCACCUUGGAGCUAGAACAGGGACGUGCACAUGAUUAUACAGGGGCAGGGGCUCAAGUUUUUUCCAGUCAUUUAUACAAUAUGGAAAUUAAUGUGAAAUUAAACCACAAAUAUGUGUGAUGAACUGUUUUUAAAACUUAAACUUCAAAUAAAAAUUGUAAACUUCAAAACAUAUGCAAAUUUUUAACAAAGAACAUAGUAAUUUACCUCUAUUUACAUCAAAAUGCAGGCAAUGGCCCAGGCGUUCUUUGUAAAAUUAUUUACAAAACACUGUAUAGUCUCACAAAUGUCACUUUUUAUUUAUGCCACUACAAAAAAACAUGAUGUAAAUGAUGCAUGAUGUAAAACAUGAUGUAAAAAACUUGUGUAGAUCCUCCUCUAUGUCAGUCCAUGUGUAAUUUUUCCAUAAUUCUUUGUUUUUUGCAGCAUUUUUGUUAGUGUAACUGCAGAUUGUGCUGACAGUCUAUGGCAAAAAAAACAAAAACUGAAAAUGCCUCAACAUGAACCCCUGGUGGUCUCUGAGGGUGAAACCUGCUAACUGCUGCAGCUCUGUCAGCUUCAGUCUCCCAUGCAGAGCCCGGAGCGCAUGUGUGGCUCUGCACCCUUAGCAGCGUUGCUAACUCCUCAGUAAGGAAAGCCUGCUUCAAUGUCAGAGUCUCUAAACUCCAGAAGAAGUCGAUAAAAGUCCCUUUCUUUCUAAAAAAAGUCGUUAGGGGGUCUGAAAAGUAAUUGAAUCUAACAACAAAGUCGCUAGGUUUGCAACUACGUGUCCCAGACUGCAUCCCUGCUGAGAGUCCCUCCCUCCCUUCUCAUGUUGCAGGAAGAACGUAAGCGCCCGCCCCUUGUCAAUCAGUCACCAUAUAAUUUUGGAUUGGUUGUUGUGGUGAAGUUUUCCACCAAUAGGAGAGAUGUUGUGGUGUGUUUUUUUUUUCUUUUGGCAAGCCUUUUCCGCCUGUAAGACCUGUCGCUAAUGUGUGCAUGCUAUGUUUUCCUGUCUCAUACAGCGCGAUCGAGCGCCGAACGUGAUCAAAAUAAGCAGAAAAAAAGUAUCGCGGACAUAAUUUAUCAUAACUCUGGUUUUAUUUGGCCUAUCAACACAAUUUAAAAACUGGUAUAUAGGUUGAGGUCCUCACUUUUGAGAUAAGUUGAAACGGAGAGUUAACGAGACUCCGUCUUGCAGCUACAUCCGGUUAAAUAUGUCAUGUGACUUGAACGCUGGGGAGCGUCAAUCGAAUCGAAUCAAACCUAACUCUCAGAUGAAUCUUCAAAAUUCACCUCAGAAAUAUGCUUAUUAUUCUUCUCAGAGUACUGCAGGAUACACACACACACACACACACACACACAGACACACACGCACACACACACACACACACACACACACACACACACACACUCAGAGUCUGUUUUUUAGCACCUGCAAAAACAUGCUAUUUACAUAUUUGACAAGAAUGCAGAGGCUUCCUUUUGCCCCUGAAAAAAAUCAAAUUUCAAACACAACUUGACUGCUCAUUUCUCCAAAAGACAACCAUGAAGCUCCAUCCAAACUUGAAGCAGGCAGUUGGUGCAUGUGUACAGUAACCUGAGGGGAGUGAGGUGACUGCUUCUGAGGAGAACAUGAGCAGUGAAGAUUCACCUUGGAGCUAGAACAGGGACGUGCACAUGAUAAUACAGGGGCAGGGGCUCAACUUUUUUCCAGUCGUUUAUACAAUAUGGAAAUUAAUGUGAAAUUAAAAAACAAAGUAUGACUGUCCUGUGUAGGUGACAGUGAUAUCCAAUAGGCUAGGCACUCACGAGGCUGGCUGUGGCAAGUGUAAGUGAAAGCAACACGCACUGGCAGGAAGAACAGCAAACGCCGAUGAAGGAAAAGGGUCUUUGCAGUGAUGGGCGUUACCAGAGAGGGCGAUGGCCAGAGGACACGAAUGGGACGGGGAGGCAGCGCGUUGGGGGGGGGGGGUGCGACACGGCUCGGGCCCGCCAGUGCCCCAACGGGGCCCUAGUUAGGGCCCGAGCGUAGCUGCUAAGCAGCUGCGAGAGCCCUAUUAUUCCCCAAGUGGUUUUUCUUUGUUUCUUUUUAGGGCCCGAGCGUAGCUGCUAAGCAGCUGCGAGAGCCCUCUUGUUCCUGAUGGAUUCUUCUUUUGUUAUUAUUAGGGCCCGAGCGUAGCUGCUAAGCAGCUGCGAGAGCCCUCUUGUUCCUGAUGGAUUCUUCUUUCGUUAUUUUUCCUCCGCUUUAAACUGGAAAAUGGCCCAUUUCCCACUGGCGAAAACUCAGGAAAUUUGGCAGGACGACCGGGCCUGGUGAAAAAUUCGAUAUUCUGAAGUCGCCCAAACAAAAAAAUGAAAAAUGGCUCCAUAGCGCCCCCUAUGGUGAAAACUCACCUGACGCCUGUACGCUUUGUCAAAAUUACACAAAAUUUGACACACAUGUGUAUCUCAAUAAGAUCUACAAAAAAGUCAGUGCGGGCGUAUCUGUCAAAUGUACGGUUAAAGGGCUAUUUCGCAUUUUUUGCCGAUCCGCACACAUUGGAAUUUCGCUAACUCCUCCGAAGGCUUUCGUUCCACCGGCAACAAAUUUGCUCAGGCCAAUCUACACCCCAUGGCCAUUAAAAGUUGUACAAAUCAUGACGCUGCACCCCAUGGUUUACAUUCUAGGGGGCGCCAAAGAUAACCCAAAAAUCCACAGUCUUAAAAGUCUUAUAACUUUUUAUUUUUGUCCUCACUGGCCUCCAAGUUUUCUAGGAUGAUGCAAUGUCCAGCCAUCAACACAUUUGUGAAGAAAUUUUUACUCCCCAAAAGAGCGCCCCCCCAUGGCAGGAGAAAAAAGUCCAUUUUUUCUUGUCCCCUAAGGUGAAAAUACACAUUGUUGAGUGUCAUGCCUGAACGCUUUGUCAUAUUGACACAAAAUUUGACACACACGUGUAUCUCAAUAAGAUCUACGAAAAAGUCAAUGAGCGCGUAUCUGUAUAAUGUACGGUUAAAGGGCUAUUUCGCAUUUUUUGCCGAUCCGCACACAUUGGAAUUUCGCUAACUCCUCCGAAGGCUUUCGUUCCACCGGCACCAAAUUUGCUCAGGCCAAUCUACACCACAUGGCCAUUAAAAGUUAUUCAAAUCAUGACGCUGCACCCCACGGUUUAGGUUCUAGGGGGCGCCAAAGAUAACCCUAAAAUCCACAUAUUUCAAAGUCUUAUAACUUUUUAUUUUUGUCCUCACUGGCCUCCAAGUUUUCUAGGAUGAUGCAAUGUCCAGCCAUCAAAACAUUUGUGAAGGAAUUUUUACUCCCCAAAAGAGCGCCCCCCCAUGGCAGGAGAAAAAAGUCCAUUUUUUCUUGUCCCAUAAGGUGAAAAUACACAUUGUUGAGUGUCACGCCUGUACGCUUUGUCAAAAUGACACAAAAUUUGACAAUCACGUGUAUCUCAAUAAGAUCUAUGAAAAAGUCAUGCGCAAAUAUCUGUAAAAUGUACGGUUAAAGGGCUAUUUUGCAUUUUUUGCCGAUUCGCACACAUUGGAAUGUGGCUAACUCCUCCUAAGGCUUUCGUCCCACUGACACCAAAUUUGCUCAGGCCAAUCUAUUCCCCAUGGCCAUUCAAAGUUGUAAAAAUCAUGACGCUGCACCCCACGGUUUACGUUCUAGGGGGUGCCAAAGAUGACCCAAAUAUCCACAUUCUUAAAAGAAUCCACAUCCCCCCCCUCCCCCCAUGGCAGGAGAAAAAGUCAAGUUUUUCCUGCCCAUCACUCAAUGGCUCAAUCGCAUCGCUCUCUCGGCAAAAGCGAAAGGAGGAGCAACUUGCCAUUUGGAUAUAUCCUAGCUGUGUUUGUGCCCUCACUCAUGGUCCAGACUUUUUUCAAAUAGGACAUGUAGUUUGUCUGCAGCGAGUGUUUUGGUAGAAACUGCGCCUCCCAUUCAUUAUAAUGGGAAAUGACCACAGACAAGUGCGCACUCCAUCUUUGGACCUAGAGUGUGACGCGAUCGGGAGGUGGAGGCGGUCGCGCUGGGGGCGGCGCGACGCGGCUCGGGCCCGACAGUGCCCCACCGGGGCCCUAGUUAUUAUUUUUCCUCCCCUUUAAACUGGAAAAUGGCCCACUUCCCACUGGCGAAAACUCAUGAAAUUUGGCAGGACGACCGGGCCUGGUGAAAAAUUCGAUAUUCUGAAGUCGCCCAAACAAUAAAAUGCAAAAUGGCUCCAUAGCGCCCCCUAAGGCGAAAAUUCACACUAUUGACUGUCACGCCUGUACGCUUUGUCAUAUUGACACAAAAAUUGAGACACACGUGUAUCUCAAUACGGUCUACGAAAAAGUCAGCGCGGGCGCAUCUGUGAAAUGUACGGUUAGAGGGUUAUUUCGCAUUUUUUGCCGAUCUGCACACAUUGGAAUUUGGCUAACUCCUCCGAAGGCAUUCGUUCCACCGGCACCACAUUUGCUCAAGCCAAUCUACACCCCAUGGCCAUUAAAAGUUGUACAAAUCAUGACGCUGCACCCCACAGUUUACGUUCUAGGGGGCGCCAAAAUAACCCAAAAAUCCACAGUCUUAAAAGUCUUAUAACUUUUUAUUUUUGCCCUCACUGGCCUCCAAGUUCUCUAGGAUGAUGCAAUGUCCAGCCAUCAACA